rnacentral:rRNA from 1 species
AGGAUCAUUUGCAAUGGGCGAAAGCCUGACAAUGCGACGCUGCGUGCAGGAUGAAGGCCUUCGGGUUGUAAACUGCUGUCAGGGGGGAAAAGGACGCGGCCCCGAACAAGGGCUGCCGUUUGAUUGUACCUCCAGAGGAAGUGACGGCUAACUCUGUGCCAGCAGCCGCGGUAAUACAGAGGUCACUAGCGUUGUUCGGAUUUACUGGGCGUAAAGCGUGCGCAGGCGGCCGACCUUGUCGGAUGUGAAAGCCCGGGGCUCAGCCCCGGAAGCGCAUCCGAAACCGGUCAGCUCGAGCCCGGGAGGGGAGUCUGGAACACACGGUGUAGCGGUGAAAUGCGUUGAUAUCGUGAGGAACACCGGUAGCGAAGGCGAGACGCUGGAACGGCACUGACGCUCAAGCACGAAAGCGUGGGGAGCAAACA